CUGAGUUAUCCAAACUCCCAACCCUUUGUGAACUUACCACUGUUGCCUCGGCGAGUUGCGCUACCCUAUAGCUACCCUGUAGCUACCCGGGAACACGCUCCAAGCUCGCCAGAGGACCUACCAACUCUGUUUUAUACUGUAUCUCUGAAUCUUAUAACUAAAUAAGUUA
rnacentral:misc_RNA from 1 species